AUACGGAGGGUGCGAGCGUUAUCCGGAUUUAUUAGGUUUAAAGGGUGUGUAGGCGGGAGCCUAAGUCAGUGGUGAAAUCUCACAGCUUAACUGUGAAACUGUCAUUGAAACUGGGUUUCUUGAGUAUAGUUGAGGUAGGCGGAAUGUGUAAUGUAGCGGUGAAAUGCAUAGAUAUUACACAGAACACCGAUUGCGAAGGCAGCUUACUAAGCUAUUACUGACGCUGAUGCACGAAAGCGUGGGUAGCGAACAGGAUUAGAAACCCCGGUAGUCC
rnacentral:rRNA from 1 species